AUCCAUUUUUUUUAUACUACGACGGUGGCAAACAAGCAUACGGCCCGCCUGAUGUUAAGCACUCUGGCAAGCUUACUCACCGGCAGGAACACAACACUAUGAGUAGGGUCUAGUAUUAUUUGGCUGCGGUUUUCUGUAAGGUGGAGGUACUUCCCCAGUUGGGCUCU